rnacentral:rRNA from 1 species
AUUGAACGCUGGCGGCAGGCCUAACACAUGCAAGUCGAGCGGCAGCGGGAAAGUAGCUUGCUACUUUUGCCGGCGAGCGGCGGACGGGUGAGUAAUGCCUGGGAAAUUGCCCAGUCGAGGGGGAUAACAGUUGGAAACGACUGCUAAUACCGCAUACGCCCUACGGGGGAAAGCAGGGGACCUUCGGGCCUUGCGCGAUUGGAUAUGCCCAGGUGGGAUUAGCUAGUUGGUGAGGUAAUGGCUCACCAAGGCGACGAUCCCUAGCUGGUCUGAGAGGAUGCCCAGCCACACUGGAACUGAGACACGGUCCAGACUCCUACGGGAGGCAGCAGUGGGGAAUAUUGCACAAUGGGGGAAACCCUGAUGCAGCCAUGCCGCGUGUGUGAAGAAGGCCUUCGGGUUGUAAAGCACUUUCAGCGAGGAGGAAAGGUUGAUGCCUAAUACGUAUCAACUGUGACGUUACUCGCAGAAGAAGCACCGGCUAACUCCGUGCCAGCCGCCGCCGUAAGAC